UACGGAGGGUGCAAGCGUUAAUCGGAAUUACUGGGCGUAAAGCGCACGCAGGUGGCUGAGUCAGUCGAUUGUGAAAGCCCUGGGCUUAACCUGGGAAUUGCAGUCGAUACUACUCAGCUAGAGUAUGGGAGAGGGCAGUGGAAUUCCCGGUGUAGCGGUGAAAUGCGCAGAUAUCGGGAGGAACACCGGUGGCGAAGGCGGUUCUCUGGGCCUUACCUGACGCUGAGGAGCGAAAGCGUGGGGAGCGAACAGG
rnacentral:rRNA from 1 species